GUGUCAGUGGAAGCUGGGGUGUCGGCGGGCGGCCGCGGCCGGGUCUAGCGGUGCCUGCGGAAGAAGGAGGAGGAGGGCUGGCGAUGAGAAGCAGCAGGGGGAAUCAAGGGCAAGAAGGGACCCAGAGGGGCAGGUGGCUGAGAUGCUGGCGUCCAGGUGACCCGAGGAAUCCUCUGGAGAUACAGGCCCGCGCAUGCGCGUGCUCGAGCGCUGAAGCCCAUUGCCCGCAGGGCGCUGGACUGGCGCCCCGGCCGGCGAGGCUGUCUAGUCCAGGCUCCAGGCCCCGGCUCUGGCCAGGCGCCGCCGCCUCCCGGUGCAGCUGAAAGUCGACGAAGAGGGCGGGGCGGGGGCGGCUUGUGGACUUCCACACUUUUCCUCUCUUCGGGCCAGUCUGGGGAGAGGGUGGCUAGCUGUGGCGGCGGCCAAUUACGUGGCGGACCUGCGGGGCUAAGCUGGCACGUCACUUCCGACUAGUGGAGUUUUUAGCCUUUUAACAUUCAAGGAUUAGAGCUCCCUCUUUGCCCACUAGCAGGGCAUUAGCUGGUGCUGAAGACAGUGGCUGCUUGGCGAGCCUGGAUCUCCAAGUGACCCCCUCAGCAACUCCUGAUGAACAGGUACUGUGUGCAGAAAUGUGAUUGAGAUUCAAGUCAGGGCCUCUCUGCCCUUUUCCCUCCAGAAACAAAACCAAGAUAAUUUAUCCUGAACACGGUGAAAAAAGGAAGGGAGGGAGGAGAAAAAGUCCGGGUCUCACCUGGGAUUCUCUGUCUCCUGCAACAUGAAGGAUUUAGCCUGGGAGGAGGUGGUGAGAACUCUGGGAGAGAAAAAAGAAGGAAAGAAUAGUUUUACCCAUGCUGAAGUUAAUUUAAACCUUCACCUAGAGAAGCAAAAAAAAAAAACCCACACUUUCCCAUUUUGUGCCUCCCUUCCUAGAGUUUUAGCCAAAGGUUUAGCUAAGUAAUUGGUUUUACCAGCGCACUCACUCCUCCUAUCCCAAGUCUGUUUGACUCCCUCCCCAUCAUCCUCCUCACCUCUUUUCAGGCAGGGUGGGGAUAGCAGCAGGAGGAGAUUUUGGGAGCCUGGCAACUCCUGCAAGGACCGCAGGACAGCCCCUCUGUGGGGAUGCGUGGUGCCCCAUCUGCCGCCCUUCUGAAGAAUGCACUGCCUUCACUUUUUACUGUGUUAGAGUCCAUCCAGACUGUUCUAUCCAAAAAAGUUUCUUUUUCCCCCACAGGCAAUCAGGAAAUGAUUCCUUUCCCGACUGCUUCUGUCUAGUGCCUGGGAAUCUUGAGUCAAUCCCUCAGUAAGUCAGUGACUAGGGAAAUCCCUCUCUGAGCCUCCCAGUUCAUGUUGCUUAGGGAACCUGAUAUUUUCGUGAAACCUGCCUACACAUGGGCAGCCCAACAGCAGAACAAAUGGUGGUGACCAAAGUGAACAAAGAAGUAUAGUUGUGCCAGCUUCGUAGUUGCCCAUGUGGACAAGUCAGCAGGAUCAGGACACGAGGAAGAGUAAAUGUGAGACAGUCAAUGUGACUUCUGCGAUAAACAGAUUUUUAAACCCCGAAAUUUUGCAAAAUUUUGGUGAAACCUGAACUUUCUUCGUUGCAUAUACUGGCACUAUCUGUACCAUCAUACAACUGUCUCACAUUAAAGCUAUUUUUCUUGGGCACUGAUGAGUAAGGUUGGUAUAAGUUCCUCAGAUCAACAAAAACCCAUUUUCCUGUAAGUCUUACAUUUAGUAUUUAAGGAACUAAAACUUAAAUACAUUUUGUGAAAUGGUUGACACUUCACUGAUAAUGAUUUAUUGCUUGGAUUAAUAAAUUUUCCAAAAGUUGUCUUAUGUAGAAUAUGGUUUGCAACCAGCAGAACCAUUAAUCUAUACUGCAAUGAUAUGCACUAUGUAUAAUUGUUUAAAAGCCUCUACUUAAUGAUGUAAAAUGCUCUAUUUAAUUACACAUUUGGGUAAACUGUA
rnacentral:lncRNA from 1 species